GCCCACCCUGGAAUCCAACUCAGGGUGUCUAGAGUGGCACCCAGGAACUAGUGUUUCCAGAAAAUUUCGUAAAGGAGGUUCUGAAAAGUAUCCUACCCACACCGAUAGUUAAGAAUCACUGAGGUACACAGGACUGAGUCCCGGAAUUGGCGAUGAUGUGGGGGAAGAUGGAUUAGAAUGGUUUGCAGAAACGGGUGGGCGUCAAGUGACUCAGGAAAGGAGGACAAGGAGAGGAGGUGGCUGUGUCUGCAGGCGCUGGAAAGAGCAGGGGCUCGGUUGUCGGUGGAUCUGCCUCUCAAGACCGUUGCUAGGGCCGUGCCCACCCCUCCCCUGUGCCCUUUGUGUCACUUUUCCCCCUUGGUGUUCACUUUAGCCAGUGGCAGCCUACAUCAAUGUGCAGAGGAUCAAAAUACUAGAAGAGAUUCUGAACCAUCAAAGCCGAGCACAAUGAGGAUAAGCAGGCCUUUCUGAAGUUUCAUGGCCAUUCUUGUAGAGGCUGUAUGUUAAACACUUGGUCACCGGCUUAUGAAGCUACUGGAAGAUAAGAAGUGAGACUAGUGGAAGGAAGUUACAUCAUUGGGGACAUGCCCUGUCUUCUCUCAUUGGUUCCUGGUCACCAUGAGAUUGAACCCAGUGUCUCACACAUAUUAGACAAGCGCUCUACCAUGGAGUUAAAACCCAAGCUCCAGUCAGAAUAAUUUUAAUUCAAAUUAAAUAUAUUGAGCUUGUUUUAUGGUGAGUACAAUUGUCUGUAUUGAUAAAUAAUAUGUGGAACUUGAAAAGAAUGUGUUAUUCUGUUGUUUUUGGU